rnacentral:rRNA from 1 species
AUUGAACGCUGGCGGCAUGCCUUACACAUGCAAGUCGAACGGCAGCGCGGACUUCGGUCUGGCGGCGAGUGGCGAACGGGUGAGUAAUACAUCGGAACGUACCCUGUUGUGGGGGAUAACUAGUCGAAAGAUUAGCUAAUACCGCAUACGACCUGAGGGUGAAAGUGGGGGACCGCAAGGCCUCACGCAGCAGGAGCGGCCGAUGUCUGAUUAGCUAGUU